rnacentral:lncRNA from 1 species
GCAGGAAUUCCGAGUCCGGGCUGGAGCGUGAUCUGGAAUCCGGCUCUCUUGAAACAGCACCGCGGAGGAUUCGGAUCCGGGAGCUGGGACAGUUAUAUUCAUCAGAACAGCACGGUGUCAAGGCCCUCACCCCCAGAAAGCUUAGGAGACACUGUUUUAUGGAGGAGAGUGAGAUUGGAGGAAGCCCUGACUCCAGGUCUCCUGAUCCUUCCUACACAAAGCGAAGCUGAAAAAAAGUGCAGGACACUCCAUUUCCUCCUGGGACCAGACAGGGAAGCCAGAGCCACCAUGGAUGUCAAAUUCCGGCAAGGAAACACCAGUAUAGCAAAAUCUCCACAUCACAUUUUAAAGCUCACACAAUGGCUCAAAGAGAACCCACAUCAAAAAACCGAAUUCCUAGCUCAGGUGAGAUCACCAAAGUUGCCUGUGAGGCUUCGUGGAACCUGCAGGUAGAAAGGACAUCUUUAUUUCGAGCUGCAGCCCAGUUGCUUCUGCGUCUUGGAGCCCCUUGAAAGGACCCUCUCCCUUCAACAGUACAUAGGGAGGCCAUUUCUGGGGAGAAAUGUAGACUGUCCUUAGACUCCUGAGGUUUUUACACUUGCUUGCUGACUCUGUGGACUUUGACUUCAUCAUUAAACAUCUUAUAAUGAUGUAAUUUGCUUUGACUGUAAGUGUAGAACAGGACGCUGUUCCUGAAUCAGGAAACAAGGGACUGGUGACCUGAACUGCCACCACCCUCCCUGGUGCUCAGAUGCAAUGAAAUCGUGAGGCAACAAAUCUAUGGCUAGGUAAAGGGUCAACUCCAUUUCAGCAAAUGUUUCAGAUGUUCCUUCCUGCCUAGUAAUGUUCCAGCUUUACCCCAGCCUUAAUCUUUUAAAAUGUAUAUUUUCCUUAGCGUUGAUUUUAAAGUAAUUCGUAUGUAUUUAUUACACUGGGUUUGUUGCAGUAAGCCACCUCGAAUGUUGCUGUAGAAUUAAAGUAAGCAAAUAAAUGUGUGGUUCUCCAAGGAGUUAUUGCUAACACCAUCUUAAAAAUGUAUUAACCCCAAAUCCAAUCACUUCUCACUCCUCUACUGCCUCCUCCCCAGGGCCAUCCUCUCCAAGAUAGUAAACCAGAAGGCCUUCCAGCUGGGCUGCCUGCUGACUCUCACACCCGCUGUCCAUCACCCACACAAUAGUCAGAGUGAGCAUUUCAAAUGGGAAUUAGAGCUCAUCCUCGCCUCCGCGUCCCACAGACAUGCCAGCCUCUUCCCUUCUUAGCACAGUGAAACCCCAGUCUCUCACUAUGUUUUACAGCCCCUCAUCCCUCAUCACAGGAUCCUUCUGGCCACUCUGGCCUCAUCCCACCCCUCUCGGCCCAGCUCAUUCAUCUCCACUAACACUGCUCAAUCCUGUCUCAGGCACCUCCCACUGGAACUCCCCAAGUGCACCUGCUCCCCAGGGAUCCAAAGGGAUCCAAAGGCCCCUCACACCAUUCAGGUCUCUGCUCAGACGUCCAGUGUUCAAAUUCCCAGGAACAUCUUGAUCAACAGACUAUAUCUCCUAC